AGUGAACGCUGGCGGUAGGCCUAACACAUGCAAGUCGAACGGCAGCACAGUAAGAGCUUGCUCUUACGGGUGGCGAGUGGCGGACGGGUGAGGAAUACAUCGGAAUCUACUUUUUCGUGGGGGAUAACGUAGGGAAACUUACGCUAAUACCGCAUACGACCUACGGGUGAAAGCAGGGGAUCUUCGGACCUUGCGCGAUUGAAUGAGCCGAUGUCGGAUUAGCUAGUUGGCGGGGUAAAGGCCCACCAAGGCGACGAUCCGUAGCUGGUCUGAGAGGAUGAUCAGCCACACUGGGACUGAGACACGGUCCAGACUCCUACGGGAGGCAGCAGUGGGGAAUAUUGGACAAUGGGCGCAAGCCUGAUCCAGCCAUACCGCGUGGGUGAAGAAGGCCUUCGGGUUGUAAAGCCCUUUUGUUGGGAAAGAAAAGCAGCAGGUUAAUACCCCGCUGUUCUGACGGUACCCAAAGAAUAAGCAUCGGCUAACUUCGUG
rnacentral:rRNA from 1 species